UACGGAGGGUGCGAGCGUUGUCCGGAAUCAUUGGGCGUAAAGGCGCGUAGGUGGCCCGGUCAGUCCGUGGUGAAGACGCGGGGCUCAAACCCCGGCGUCGGCCAUGGAUGACUGCUGGGCUGGAGCACUGUGAGAGGCAGGCGGAAUUCCGGGUGUAGCGGUAGGAAUGCGUAGAGAUCCGGAAGAACACCGGUGGCGAAGGCGG
rnacentral:rRNA from 1 species